CACGGUUUUCUCCACACUGACCACCUCACCUUUGGGAAAUUUCUUGAUCAGGUUGAGGUGCAGAUUCUGUGCUGCAAACUUUGAGGCUCGGACUCCCCCGUGGCCAUCAAAAACAGCGAAGUAUGAGACACGUGUGACUUGGGAGGGCAGAGGCUGGCACUCCUCAGUGAUAUCAUUUAAGAUGACAUGUGCAUCCUGCAUGUCUUCUCUUUCACCUUUCCUCUCCGCCACGUAGCCCUUCAAUCCAAGAAUGCCCACUGACCCUUUACAAACUUUCUUUUCCACAAGUUCUUCCCUGCCAUUCUUCUCUUCCUCCUCCAUGGACUUCCUCUUCUCCCCUUUUGCAUGGCUCCCUUCUGAGACCUGCUCAGGAGCGCUGGAGGCUGCAUCACUACUGCUGGCUGGUGGAAGAUCAUCGAAGAGUAAAGAGCUUCCUUUUCCUGUGUCGGCGCUGCCGGCCGGCGGGAGGUCGUCGAAGAGCCGAAGCUGCCCCUGGGCCUCCUUCCCCUGGGCUGAGCCGCCAGGCUCGGGCAGGUCCCCGAACAGGUCCAUCCACCGCGCCCGGCCCAACGCCGCCCGCCCCGCCGCCGCGCCC
rnacentral:lncRNA from 1 species